UACGUAGGGGGCAAGCGUUGUCCGGGUUUAUUGGGCGUAAAGAGCGUGUAGGCGGCUUUACAGGUCCGUUGUGAAAACUCGAGGCUCAACCUCGAGACGCCGGUGGAAACCGUAAGGCUAGAGUCCGGAAGAGGAGAGUGGAAUUCCUGGUGUAGCGGUGAAAUGCGCAGAUAUCAGGAGGAACACCCGUGGCGAAGGCGGCUCUCUGGGACGGUACUGACGCUGAGACGCGAAAGCGUGGGGAGCGAACAGG
rnacentral:rRNA from 1 species